CGCUAUCACUCCUACGGGAGCAGCAGUGGGGAAUUUUGGACAAUGGGCGCAAGCCUGAUCCAGCAAUGCCGCGUGCAGGAAGAAGGCCUUCGGGUUGUAAACUGCUUUUGUCAGGGAAGAAAUCCUUUGGGCUAAUACCUCGGAGGGAUGACGGUACCUGAAGAAUAAGCACCGGCUAACUACGUGCCAGCAGCCGCGGUAAUACGUAGGGUGCGAGCGUUAAUCGGAAUUACUGGGCGUAAAGCGUGCGCAGGCGGCUUUGCAAGACAGAGGUGAAAUCCCCGGGCUCAACCUGGGAACUGCCUUUGUGACUGCAAGGCUAGAGUACGGCAGGAGGGGGAUGGAAUUCCGCGUGUAGCAGUAGAAAUGCGUAGAUAUGCGGAGGAACACCGAUGGCGAAGGCAAUCCCCUGGGCCUGUACUGACGCUCAUGCACGAAAGCGUGGGGAGCAAACAGGAUUAGAUACCCUGGUAG
rnacentral:rRNA from 1 species